GACAGAGGUGCCGAGCGUUAGGCGGAAUCACUGGGCUUAAAGCGUGUGUAGGCGGGCGGGCAAGUACCUUGUGAAAUCCCACGGCUCAACCGUGGAACGGCUGGGUAUACUGCCUGUCUUGAGCCAACUAGGGGCGAGCGGAACAGACGGUGGAGCGGUGAAAUGCGUAGACAUCGUCUGGAACGCCAAAGGUGAAAACAGCUCGCUGGGGUUGUGCUGACGCUGAGACACGAAAGCCAGGGGAGCGAACGGG
rnacentral:rRNA from 1 species